UCGCCGGUGUUGGAGGACACAGGAAGGGAAGCUCUCCAGCUCUCACUGACACGAUGCAUUUACUUCUAGAUAUGAAGUUUGCUGCAGACGAGCCGCCGUGAACAGGACGCUUAAUCUCUCUAAUGAGGCUCAUCAUCCUGCCAACAGAGGCACAUCUACACAAUGAAAGGUCCACGGUUGAUCUGUCCCCACGUGACUGGGGAAAAUGAGGCCUGUUGAAAAAGGUGUGUACCACGCUGCCCUGUGUUGCUCCACGUUGCUGGUGGUUCAGUGAUGAAAGCUGCUGCAUAGGAAGUGCCGUCUGAUGCGACAACUGACGAUGGAAAUAGCUGUUCUGAGAAAUACUGUCAAACCUUUUUUUUUCUUAUGGUGUACAUAAUCUAAACACUUAAUGAUCUAGAUGUAUCAUUUCUCU